AGGUGCAUGCCCCUAGCAUGAAGUCAGACAAGUGA
rnacentral:rRNA from 1 species